UGGGCUGUAGCUCAGUGGUAGAGCACUUGCCUAGCAUGUGUGAGGCACUGGGUUCAAUUCUCAGCACCACAG
rnacentral:tRNA from 1 species